GAUGAACGCUGGCGGCGUGCCUAAUACAUGCAAGUCGAGCGAACAGAUAAGGGGCUUGCUCCUUUGACGUUAGCGGCGGACGGGUGAGUAACACGUGGGUAACCUACCUAUAAGACUGGAAUAACUCCGGGAAACCGGGGCUAAUGCCGGAUAACAUGUUGAACCGCAUGGUUCUACAGUGAAAGGCGGCUUUGCUGUCACUUAUAGAUGGACCCGCGCCGUAUUAGCUAGUUGGUAAGGUAACGGCUCACCAAGGCAACGAUACGUAGCCGACCUGAGAGGGUGAUCGGCCACACUGGAACUGAGACACGGUCCAGACUCCUACGGGAGGCAGCAGUAGGGAAUCUUCCGCAAUGGGCGAAAGCCUGACGGAGCAACGCCGCGUGAGUGAUGAAGGUCUUCGGAUCGUAAAACUCUGUUAUUAGGGAAGAACAAAUGCGUAAGUAACUGUGCGCGUCUUGACGGUACCUAAUCAGAAAGCCACGGCUAACUACGUG
rnacentral:rRNA from 1 species